rnacentral:tRNA from 1 species
AUUGUCUUGGCAGAAGAAAUGCAACUGACUUAGGCUCAGUCAAUAGCACUUAGUGCUAGUCGGAG